rnacentral:lncRNA from 1 species
GGGAAGUCGGGAAUAAACCAGCUCCGACGGGGAAAAUAAGUUUGAACGGUCAUCCAAAUCGGAAUUGUAAAUCCGGCCUCUUUCUAGAGCUACGACCUGAAGAUCAAUGACGUCAUUGUGAUUCGACCUUGUUUUUAUCCGAGUUCCCAGUUGUUUUGAAAGCACCAUAAAUCCAGAGAAUGCCAGACAUUGACACAAUUUGCCCACGAAGAACCACCGCAUCACCUUCCUGUUCAAGUGAGCACAGCACAAAAAGGUGAGACUGAAUGUCAACAAGGUCCAGGAGAAACAGGAGAGCUACCAGAGGAGAAUCAAGACCAAGUUCUUUGACAUCCGGGCGAAUGACUUGGUUUGGAAGAAGGACCAAAGAAAGGCGAGACCUGGGAAAACUUUCUGCUCUUUCGCUCCUAGCUGGGGUCACCAUCUAUUAAAUUAAGGAGUGGUGGUAGGAGUCAGGCGCAGAGAGCAGAGGAGCUAGGGGUUCAGCCUAACACCCAGAUGAGGAUCCACCUGAUGUCCUCCAUUACCAACCACCCUCCAACUUUUCAUUAUAUAAUCUACAGCUACUCUUAUUGGCAUUAUCUGCUAAGAAAGCUUGCUUGCUUUAUCAUACUGGGCCAUAAUACUGUAUGUGAGAUACACAGAUGCACUAAAAACACUAGCACUGCAAACACUCAGAAUGAAGAGAGCAGCAGUGCCUGGACUUCAAAGUCUCCUUCUUCAAGUCCUCCUACCAAGACUGGCUGCCUGUUGAGAACAAGUGACAGGCAGAACCACCCACCCACACAGCACCCUACUCCUCUCUAUUCCAC